GAGGGUAUUUCUCAAAUGGUAGGGCACAUGCUUAGCAUGCAUGAGGUCCUGAGUUCAAUCCUCAGUACCUCCU
rfam:Camelus ferus unplaced genomic scaffold scaffold445, whole genome shotgun sequence.